GAUGAACGCUGGCGGCGUGCCUAAUACAUGCAAGUCGAGCGAACGGACGAGAAGCUUGCUCCUCUGAUGUUAGCGGCGGACGGGUGAGUAACACGUGGAUAACCUACCUAUAAGACUGGGAUAACUUCGGGAAACCGUAGCUAAUACCGGAUAAUAUUUUGAACCGCAUGGUUCAAAAGUGAAAGACGGUUUUGCUGUCACUUAUAGAUGGAUCCGCGCUGCAUUAGCUAGUUGGUAAGGUAACGGCUUACCAAGGCAACGAUGCAUAGCCGACCUGAGAGGGUGAUCGGCCACACUGGAACUGAGACACGGUCCAGACUCCUACGGGAGGCAGCAGUAGGGAAUCUUCCGCAAUGGGCGAAAGCCUGACGGAGCAACGCCGCGUGAGUGAUGAAGGUCUUCGGAUCGUAAAACUCUGUUAUUAGGGAAGAACAAAUGUGUAAGUAACUGUGCACAUCUUGACGGUACCUAAUCAGAAAGCCACGGCUAACUACGUG
rnacentral:rRNA from 1 species